ACGGAGGAUGCGAGCGUUAUCCGGAUUUAUUGGGUUUAAAGGGUGCGUAGGCGGGACCUUAAGUCAGCGGUAAAAUUGCGGUGCUCAACGCCGUAGAGCCGUUGAAACUGGGGUUCUUGAGUGAGCGAGAAGUAUGCGGAAUGCGUGGUGUAGCGGUGAAAUGCAUAGAUAUCACGCAGAACCCCGAUUGCGAAGGCAGCAUACCGGCGCUCAACUGACGCUGAGGCACGAAAGUGCGGGUAUCGAACAG
rnacentral:rRNA from 1 species